rnacentral:rRNA from 1 species
GGAAUAGCCUCCCGAAAGGGAGAUUAAUACCGCAUAACACUGCGGUUUCGCAUGAAACUGCAGUUAAAGGAGCAAUCCGCUAUGAGAUGGACCCGCGGCGCAUUAGCUAGUUGGUGAGGUAAAGGCUCACCAAGGCCACGAUGCGUAGCCGACCUGAGAGGGUGAUNGGCCACAUUGGAACUGAGACACGGUCCAGACUCCUACGGGAGGCAGCAGUGGGGAAUAUUGCACAAUGGGCGAAAGCCUGAUGCAGCGACGCCGCGUGGAGGAUGAAUGCUCUUCGGGUUGUAACUCUUGUCUUCUGGGACGAUAAUGACGGUACCAGAGGAGGAAGCCACGGCUACUACGUGCCAGCAGCGCGGUAUACGUAGGUGGCGAGCGUUGUCCGGAUUUACCUGGGCGUAAGGAUGCGUAGCGGAUAUUAAUGGGAUGUGAAAUACCU